CGAAACUAGACAGACCUACUCGCGCUCACACAUGUGCUCGCUGUGGUUGCUAUGACGACAGCCAGAGCUACGGCACAAAACAGCCAAUCACAACUGUCCCUUAGCAGCCAAUCACAAUGUAGCCUACGCCCAUUCAAGCGUACAGCCAAUGAUAUUGUGUAACGUAAUCAGCAGACGACGGACCCCGAGCCGAUCUGGUAGCCGAGCCAAUAUGGCACUUACACCGGACCACUUGCUGCCGAGAAAACCGGCAGCAAAAUUUGAUUUGCGGCGCGGCAAAAUUUGAUUUGCAGUGCGUUCACGUAUUUUGCGGCGCGACAAAUGCUGCUCGAGUUGAAAUAUUUCAACUUUUCGGCAGCAAACGCGUGAUGACAGCCAAUCAGCGUUCAACAGCGUUGCCACUGAGUGACAUGCCGUAACAGCCAAUCAGUGUUACUCCCUUGGAGUGACCUAGAGUUCACUACCUGAUCCAGAUCAAACCGCUAAAAUGGAGGAAAAGCUCAUCAUUUCAGUCUCCGCAUUCCCGGAGAUCUUCAACACCACCUUGGCCAUUUAAAAGGACCGGACGGUCAAAACCAAGGCUUGGCUGAAGGUGAGCGAGGAGGUCGGGCUAACUGGUAAGUCUUUUUGAAUUUACUUUACUUUAAAAGUUACUUUAUUCCAGCUAUCAAUUGAACCAAGCUAGUUAGUGAGCAGUUAGCAUUCAACAGUUCAGUUCGAAUUACACAGCGUAGGCUUUUUUCUUGUCAGAGGAGGAAUGCCGACGAAAGUGGAAGGUCCUGAGGGACACCUACCUCACGGAGAGACGCAGGCAGGAGGCAGGAAAGAGGAGUGGGUCAGCAGGCCCGUUGAAGACGUGGAAGUACUCUGCGAUCCUGUCUUUCCUCGGCCCAUUUGUUACUCCGAGGGAGACCAGUAGCAAUAUGGUGCUGGGGGUCGAGGUAGAUGGGAUUGCAGGGUACCCAGUCGAGGACCACGGUUCAGAGGCAGCAGCAGGGACAGCGAGUGACCUAGGAGGUUGGUCGAUAAGAGAAGACACACACGCACGCCCAUACACAGCAUGAUUUGUUCUAUAGAUUGAUAACUACCUCUUGUCACCUCAAGAUCUAAGCUGUGAGGAGCCGGAGGCUGCUGCUGCCUCUGAACCCAUUCCACCACCACCACCACCACCAACUGCUGCUGUCCCCACUCCUCCUAUUGCCCCAGUGAGGACACAAAACCGAAGGAGAGAGAGGGAGAGGGAGACGGAGAUCGAGAGGUUACUCCUGGAGGUGCUGAGGAGGCAGACCGCACCUGUGCCUCCACCUGUUCCUCUCAUCCUCUCUGAGGAUGAGCACUUUUUUAAAGGGAUACUUCCUUCCCUGCAACGAUUGCCACCCCAUGCAAAGGAACAAGUCAAAUUCCAAAUUUAUAAAUUAUUGCACGAUGCCAACUGUUGUCGUAAUCCAGUACAGUUUAAUUUGAUCAAUCAAUUUGGACCAGUCGAUGAAUAGGUUCUGGGGUGACAAUCGUUGCAGGGAAUGAUCCAUGCCCAUUUUGUUUUGUUUUUUUUGUUUACACACACACACACAC